UACGUAGGGUGCAAGCGUUGUCCGGAAUUAUUGGGCGUAAAGAGCUCGUAGGCGGUCUGUUGCGUCGGCUGUGAAAACCCGGGGCUCAACCCCGGGCCUGCAGCCGAUACGGGCAGACUAGAGUUCGGCAGGGGAGACUGGAAUUCCAGGUGUAGCGGUGAAAUGCGUAGAUAUCUGGAGGAAUACCGGUGGCGAAGGCGGCAUCCUGGACCGGCAUUGACGCUGAUGAGCGAAAGCUAGGGGAGCAAACGGG
rnacentral:rRNA from 1 species